GCUGAAUUCAUUUAUCCCAAGGGAGCCAUUAUCUGAGCCAUGGUUGAAACAACUAAUUGCAUCUGUCAAGACUCCUAUUAGACAGAUAUUGAAAGUUUUAUCAACAGAGGAGCAUUGCUUGGCUACCGGUAUUUCCAUUUACUGCAAAGGGAGGGGUUAUUGUCAUUUUGUUGGUUUUUCUUUAAAUCAUUUAAAUUAAAAAAAAAUUCAUCAGAUACCUACAUUUUUAAAUGUAUUACUGUUAUAGAUAUGUAUUUACAGUGAAAUUCUGACAAUUUUGAUUUUAAUUUUUCUUUGUUAAACAAAUUUUUUUUUUUACAAUUCUAGAAUUAAUUUUUUUGUAUGUGUUCCAAACCUUUAUUAUUCAAUUCAAUUAUUUGUCCCAUUUGAAAUUAGCCUUGCGGGGGUAUUAGUCCCAUUAGGACACUUCUAGUUAAAAAACUUGAGAGAUGAUAUGAAAAUAAGAAAAUUGAUUUUUUUUAGAGUUCUACAUAGUGAUGACAGUCCAGGGGACUAAAAUUAUAAUCGUAAUUUUUAUUCAAAUAAAUUCUAGGUCAAAUCAAGAGAAAUAUUCAGAUAAAAUGAAUUUUUUUGUAACUGGAUUAUACACAACUGGUAUAGUUUCAAUAUUUUUACGUUCUGCGCAUGUCAUUGUGUAUAGCAAUUAGCGCCCCGACGGACCAUGGUCACUCCAGGUAAAUAAUACCUAUUUUUCCAGUAACCGUUCGAUCAUGAAAUGGGUCUUUAAGAUAUCUUCAUUGACAAAUUAUCAUUUUUCACUUGGAAACACUCUCGGGAACAACAACAGAAUCCGUCACUCAUUACUUUGUUAGUUGAUGUGUAUUGUUGUAGAACUAUCACGUUUGUGACACACAAAUCUUAAGGAAUAUAUUUUGGGUCAGACUGAAACACCAAUUUUCAAUACCAUAAAUGGUUAUUUUGUUAAAAUGUUGAACAUUGAAUCUUUUUAAAAUCAGAAUACUCAUAAUAAAAAAUACAUGUUUGUCCAUUGCUUGUUCAUGUUUGUGGACAAUGUACAUUGAUAUAAAGACCGUGUCAGUUGGCAGCUCAUAAAUACAUGUAACCAAUCUCUUUGAAAUAAUCAUAUAAGAGAAGGUAUACAAUUUCAAAAUAUGCAGGGUUAUUGUCUUUGAAAAACUUCACGACAUAUUCAAUUGUUAAAUUAACCAUGUCAUCAUGAUAUUGUUAUUUUUCAUUGGUUUCAUUAAUUCUUUUUGUUUCGAAUGUUUGAUUUUUUUUCAUACAGAAUUGCCCAAUAUAUUGUUUAACAACUAUUGUCAUAUAGUCAAACAAAUUGUGUAUUGCUGAAUAAAAUAAUUUUAUUAAUUC
rnacentral:misc_RNA from 1 species